AUAUGUGAUCGUCUCUCGCAUAUCAAUAAGCGGAGGAAAAGAAACUAACAAGGAUUCCCCUAGUAACGGCGAGUGAAGCGGGAAGAGCUCAAAUUUGAAAUCUUAAAGGGUUUCCCUUUACGAAUUGUAGUUUAAAGAAGUGUUUUCUGUUGAGGUUUUGGUAAAAGUUCUUUGGAAUAGGACAUCAUAGAGGGUGAGAAUCCCGUAUUUGACCUUUACUUUCAACUUUGUGAUACACUUUCAAAGAGUCGGAUUGUUUGGGAAUGCAGUCCAAAAUGGGUGGUAAAUUUCAUCUAAAGCUAAAUAUUGGCGAGAGACCGAUAGCGAACAAGUACCGUGAGGGAAAGAUGAAAAGAACUUUGAAAAGAGAGUUAAACAGUACGUGAAAUUGUCAAAAGGGAAGCGUUUGACACCAGUGUUGUUUUUCUGAAAAUCAAUUAAAGAACUGUUUAUGCUAAGCAGUUUAGACUUUAUCAGCUAUCUGUUUAGUUUUGAGCUUUUCUUUAAUGCACUUUUCAGUUAACAAGUCAACAUCAAUUUCUUUUGCUGUAAAAAAGCUUGAGGAAGGUGGCUUGAGAUUCGUCUUAAGUGUUUAUAGCCUCUUGCCUAUGCAGUCGGAGAGAUUGAGGUCUGCAGCGUAGAUCCUUCGGGGCUAAAUGCAUUUGUGCUAAGUUAUAGCAUUUUAUAGACAACUUGUUGACUAUGAUUUGUCUUGUAGCUUACUCGCUUAUGUUAUUUUACCUACGCUUAGGAUGUUGAGUAGCGACAUACGCAC
rnacentral:rRNA from 1 species